rnacentral:rRNA from 1 species
UACGGAGGGUGCGAGCGUUGUCCGGAAUCACUGGGCGUAAAGGGCGCGUAGGCGGCUCGGUAAGCGUGUGGUGAAAGCCUGGGGCUCGACCCCGGGUCGGCCAUGCGAACUGUCGAGCUGGAGCACUGUAGAGGCAGGCGGAAUUCCGGGUGUAGCGGUGGAAUGCGUAGAGAUCCGGAAGAACACCGGUGGCGAAGGCGGCCUGCUGGGCAGUAGCUGACGCUGAGGCGCGACAGCGUGGGGAGCAAACAGG